rnacentral:rRNA from 1 species
UACGAAGGGGGCUAGCGUUGCUCGGAAUCACUGGGCGUAAAGCGCACGUAGGCGGCUUUUUAAGUCAGGGGUGAAAUCCUGGAGCUCAACUCCAGAACUGCCUUUGAUACUGAGAAGCUUGAGUCCGGGAGAGGUGAGUGGAACUGCGAGUGUAGAGGUGAAAUUCGUAGAUAUUCGCAAGAACACCAGUGGCGAAGGCGGCUCACUGGCCCGGUACUGACGCUGAGGUGCGAA